UGUAAACAGGAAGAGAGUCCAUGCUCUGACCUUUGUUGAGGUGCUAGAGCUCCAGGAUUCCAGCUUUUGGGAGCCAUCAUCCAUGCUGGAGUUUUUGGUGAUACAGCUGCCUUUGAGUUUUCUCUGAUCCUGUAAGUAACCCCUCAUCCAUACUUCUCAUAUAUCAAAGACCAGCAUCUCUUCAGAAACCUUCCAGGACUCCAGCACCAGAUUGGGGCUGCAGAGACAUCCAAUCUCAUGAACUAGACAACUAUCAGAUUCUUGCCUUUCCACUGGGAGACUGCUGUUGUUGGAAUAUCUGGACCACAGCCUAUCCAGGGAAAUAAUCAUAGAAUGGAAUUGGGGACCUAUGGGCUCACAGUGAGAUGGACCAGACUGGACACUCUGUGGAUCUUCUUACCUGUGUUUCCAGAGAGGUCUAACCCGGCAGGAGUGAGAACCUUCCAGCAGGUGAGCCAGUACAAAAAAGCCUAAAGAAAAAGCGGUGUUGGCUGCCUGCCUUCCCUUGGUCUGGAGCCAGUGCUUGGCUCUGCUGCCACUGUCCUUCUCUGACGUCAGACUCAAGCUUCUUCAGCCUUCUUCCAACACGAACUGAACACUAGUGACUCUCCAGGAAUCUUCCAGACCUUCGGCACCAGGUUGGGACUGCUGAGGUGAUCAACUUUGUGGACUAAACAGCAUCUCUAGUGUCGUCCUGUGCAAGAGACAGAUGGAUCAUGGAGAAUGGCAGUUGACUAUGACAAACGGUGAAGCAGAGCGAGAUGACAAGAAUGGAACCAGGGAAGAAGUGCUUGCCACCAGAGCCCCCGAACUUUCUGUCUCGGGACCAAAUGCUUGUGACGUUGGGGGAAUCCCCUAGGGAGAAAACCCCAUGUGUCUUCAGAUGUGGAGUGCUUUAGUCCUCCUAUUUGAGGAAGUGAAUGUGUGGGAAGGAGCGAGCAUGCACAUCAGAAACACAAGAUGGCUUUAACAGGCUUCUUCGCCAUGUGUCUGGCGACCAGUUUCAGGAUGGCUCUGAUUUGGGGGGACCCUCUCUUUCUGGGUCUGGGUGUGAGGCAGGGUCACCUCCCUCAGGGGAAGUUCUCUUAUAGGCUGCAUUUGGGGCCUCAGCUUCGGUUAGGUCAGUGUAUCUCCUUGGGACUUAGCAGCUCGUACAGAUUGUGUGACCAUUUAAGAGCAGGUGAAAGUUCUCUGUAGAGGUGGCUGAACUGUCGUGUGGCGCUGGUGGCUACAGGAGCAGGAGUUUUGGAUCCUGUUUCCCACCGUGCUCUGUCACCAUCCCCCAGUAGGUGAUUAGGAGGCCGUGGUAAGCAUAGUAAGAUUUCUCCCUCACUUUGCAACACAGAUGAACCAUGGUAUGGUAGGAUAGCCACUCCCAGGAGGGCCUCAGACUCCCCAGAUCCACAGAGACAGCAAGCAGGACAGGGAGCCGGGAGCUGGGGAGGGAGCAGGGAGUCAGUGUUGAAUGGGGACAGAGUUUCAGUCUGGGAAGAUGGAAAGUUCUGGAGGCAGAUGCCGUGGGUGGAUGUUAAUUCUGCUGAGCUGUGCACUUGAACGUGGUCAAAUGGCCAGUGUCAGGCACAGCGCAUUUGACCAGUAUUAGAAGAAAGAAUUCUUGUUCAGACACGAUCAUCGUGUGUCCCUCAAAGCAAAGAGCUUCACCAGCCAGUGGAAGCUGGAGAAUGCAGAGCACAAGGAAGGCCAGGCCUGCCCCAUGGGUCUGAAGAAGAGGCUGGAGGGCAGUGAACCAAAUUCACAGAGCAGAAAGUUGUCCUAGCUGGCAGCCGCCGAGGAGAGAACACAGCUGCAAUCAAUUAGGUUCUUCCAGCAGCCAGAGUGAGCCCAGAUGGGGGAGCUUCUAGAAGCCUCCGAGUAGGGCCCAGCUAACCUGUCCUCUUGCCUGGUGGAGAACCUGCCCACCCUAUCUGGGCUCUGACCCACAAGCUGCUGCUACUUCAGGUUGCUGUUGUGAGCGCGCGUGCGCACGCACGCACGCAUGCACGCACACACGCGCUGCAGGCAUGGCCCCCAGGGCAGGGCUCAGUGGCUGGAUUUCUGGGAAGUGAUUAAUAUGGCAUUUUUAAAAAGGAAACUAGAAAGUGAGGCCCCCUUUGAGGAAGAGGUCACUGAGUGGUGCCUUGAGAAGGGGGUUUCUUUGUCUUUGGCCCUUCUCUCUACUCCUGGCCACCAUGAGGUGUUAGCUUGACUCCACUGUACACAUAGCCUGCUGUGUUCUGCCUCAUUGGGGCCCCCAAACAAUGAAGCCAGCUAACCAUGGGCAGAGACCUCUAAAAACCCGAGUCAAACUAAGUUGACUUUCUCAGGUUUGAGUUGGUUUUCUUCCCUUCUUUCUUUAAGUUGACUUUCUCAGGUAUUUUGUCACAGUGACAGACACAGACUUUGCCACCAGGUUUAUGCUCUUCCCUUCCCAGCAUAGGACAUGAAUGUGACAAUGUCUGGAAGGGGCAGGCGCAGGACUACAUCUGACCAGGGCUCCUGCCCACCCUGUGCUGGUUUCCUCUGUCCUUGACCUAGUCUGUCCUGUUCCACAGACUCACCAAUUCACCCUAGGUGUUUCUAUCUGUUCUGCAUGGAGCUGUUUACCUGAUGUCAUAGUUUUAAUCUGGUGUCUUCCACAGGCUCCUGAAUGUUUGCUCUGUGUCACGGGUUUGAUGUGAAAUGUCUCCCACAGGCUCAUAUUCUGAAUGUUCUGUCCCCAGCUAAUGAUGGUAUUGUAGAGCCUGUAGGAAGUAGAGUCUGGCUAGCAGGAGGUCAUUAGGGGUGGGCUUUGGAAGGUUAUACCUGCCUGUGGUGGUUUGAAUUAAAAUGGCCCUCAUAGGCUCAUAGGGAGUGGCACUAUUAGGAGGUGUGGCCUUAUUGGAAGAAGUGUGUCAUUAGAGACUGGCUUUGAGGUUUCAGAUGCUCAAGUCAGGCCCAGCAUCACUCUUUCUUCCUACUACCUGCCAAUCCAGAUGUAGAGCUUUCAGCUACCACUCCAGCACCAUGUCUGCCUGCAUGCUGCCAUGCUUCCCAGCAUGAUGAUAAUGGACUAAAAACCUCUGAACUGUAAGCCAGCCCCAGUUAAAUGUUUUCCUUUAGAAGAGUCGCCGUUGUCAUGGUCACAGCAAUGGAAACCCUAAGACACUGCCCCUGGUUCCACUCGACCUGUUCUCUGCUAUUACUUGACUUUUCUCUGGGAAACACGAGCGAGAAACCAGUCACUCCAGGUGGGGCAUGGACAAUAGAGAGGAUUCUACUCAAGUUUCAACUUGAAGCAAU